UAAGGAAUAUUGGUCAAUGGGCGGAAGCCUGAACCAGCCAUGCCGCGUGCAGGAAGACGGCCCUACGGGUUGUAAACUGCUUUUGUACCGGAAUAAACCUUGAUUCGUGAAUCAAGCUGAAUGUACGGUAAGAAUAAGGAUCGGCUAACUCCGUGCCAGCAGCCGCGGUAAUACGGAGGAUCCAAGCGUUAUCCGGAUUUAUUGGGUUUAAAGGGUGCGUAGGCGGCCAGUUAAGUCAGGGGUGAAAGACGGUAGCUCAACUAUCGCAGUGCCUUUGAUACUGACGGGCUUGAAUGUACUUGAGGUAGGCGGAAUGUGACAAGUAGCGGUGAAAUGCAUAGAUAUGUCACAGAACACCAAUUGCGAAGGCAGCUUACUAAAGUAUGAUUGACGCUGAGGCACGAAAGCGUGGGGAUCAAACAGGAUUAGAUACCCCCGUAGUCC
rnacentral:rRNA from 1 species